AAGAAACAGUCUCACUGUCACCCAGACUGGAGUUUAGUGGUGUGAUCAUAGCACACUGCAGCCUCAGACUCCUCCUGGCUCAAGCAGCCCUCCUGCCUCAGCCUCCCCAGUAGCUGGGACUAUGGACUCAUGCCACCAAACCCAGCUAUUUUGUGUUUUGCUCUUGUUGCCCAGGCUGGAGUGUAAUGGUGCAAUUUCGUCUCACUGCAACCUCUGCCUCCCGGGUUCAAGCGAUCCUCCUGCCUGAGCCUCCCAAGUAGCUGGGACUGCAAGCAUGCACCACCAUGCUCAGCUAAUUUUUGUAUUUUUAGGAGAGACGGGGUUUCACCAUGUUGGCCAGGCUGGUCUCAAACUCUUGACCUCAUGAUCCACCCGCCUCGGCCUCCCAAAGUGCUGGGAUUACAGGAGUGAGCAACCUCGCCUGGCCAAGUUCUGUUUGUACUCGUUUCCAUUAAUGUAAGCAGUAUUCUUGGAGGUCAUGACUGUGUAUAAUAAAUUCUUAUCUGUUUGCAGAGCCUACCACUGAUGUUUUGCAGAGUAAUGAAAAGAAAUGGUAGAUUGAGAUCUCAUUCUUUGGUUUAUUCAUGGUGGUGUCACAGAACCCCAGUGUAUUUAACAGAGCCCUAAAGUAUAUGACUUUGUGGCACCUGAAUUGUAUUAUGUAUGAGAAACUGAUAUAUUUGCAAGAUAGCAAAUGUAAAUAGGAGCUAGAUAAUAUAAGAAUCCUAAUAGAUACCCAAAAGACUCUGUUGGCUGGGUGUGGUGGCUCAUGCUUGUAAUCCUAGCAUUUCAGGAGGCUGAGGCAGGAGAAUCAUUUGAACCCAGGUGUUUGAGACCAACCUGGCUAACAUAAGGAGACCCUGUCUCUAUAAAAAAUAAAAAAUUAGCCAGGCAUGGUGGCAUGCGCACAGCUAUGGCCCUAGCUACUUGGGAGGCUGAGGUGGAAAGAUCAGUUGAGUCUGGAGUACAGUGGCACAAUCGUAGCUCACUGCAACCUCAAACUCCUGGGUUUAGGGGAACCUCCUGCCUUAGCUUCCCAAGUAACUGGGAUUACAGGUACAUGGCACCACACUGAGCCAAUUUUUUAAAUUUUUUUAUAGAGGCAGGGUCUCGCUUUGUUGCUCAGCCUGGUCUCAAACUCCUGGGCUCAAGCAAUCCUCCUGCCUUGGCCUCCUCGAGAGUUGGGUUUACAAGUGUGAGUCACCAUGCCCAACCCACACUAGGAAGUUGAGACUCAUUGCUUAAGAAACUUGGCCGGGUGCGGUGGCUCACGCCUGUAAUCCCAAAACUUUGGAAGGCUGAGGCUGGCAGAUCACUUGAGGUCAGGAGUUCGAGACCAGCCUGGCCAACAUGUUGAAACCCCAUCUCUCCUAAAAAUACAAAAAUUAGUCAGGCGUGGUGGCACAUGCCUGUAGUCCCAGCUACUCAGGAAGCCAACACAGGAGAAUUGCUUGAAUCUGGGAGGUGGAGGUUGCAGUAAGCCGAGAUGGCGCCACUGCACUCCGGCCUGGGCGACAGAGCAAGACUCCAUCUCAAAAACAGCAACAACAACAACAACAAAAAACGAAACUUGCUCAAGGUAACUAAAAUGUAGAUUUGAAUCCAGUAUAACCGAAAACUCACUGUUGCUCACAUUCUUACCACCUUCAUAGCUAUCACCCUACUAUACCAAGCCACUUUUCAUCUCUUUCCCAGAUUGCCCUGUUCACCUGACCAGUCAGCCUAUUUCUCCAUACAAUCCAUUUUCUACCCAAUCGCUGAAAUGUACCUUUUAGAACAUAAGUCAUACCCAGUCAUUUUUCUGCUCUAAACUCUCUGAUGGCUUCCCAACACAUCUGGGAGCAGAAAUGCCUAACCAUGGUUUAACUUACUCUGGCCCCGUUCUCUGUUUUCCCACCACUGUCACUUUCAUUCUAGCCAUUGGCCUGUGUGCUGUUCUUCAGAUAUGUUGAGUGUACUCCCAUCUCACAUCUCAUGGCCUUUUGUACCUGUUCCAUCAACUUGGAAUGCUCUUUCUUCAGACUUCUUUUUUCUUUUCUUUUUUUUUUUUUUUUUUGAGACAGAGUCUUGCUGUGUUUCUCAGGCUGGUCUAGAACUCCUGGCUGGCCUCAAGUGAUACUUCUGCCUUGGCCUCCCAAAAUGCUGGGAUUAUAGGCAUGAGACACUGCCCCCUCACCUUCCUCAGGUUUUUACUUAAUUUUCUCUUAGAUCUCAGCUCAAAUUUACCCCUGUAGGGAAGCCCUCCUAGUGAAAACUCAGCCCCAUCAUUUAGCCCCUUUUUCUGUUUUUUCCUUCUUCUUAACAUUUAAUACCUCU
rnacentral:lncRNA from 1 species